UCGAGGGGUAGGGUAGCAAUACCUGAGACCGGCGCACGGGUGCGUAACGCGUAUGCAACCUACCUUUUACAGGGGAAUAGCCCAGAGAAAUUUGGAUUAAUGCCCCAUGGUAUCUUCGAGUGGCAUCACUUGAUUAUUAAAGUUCCAACGGUAAAAGAUGGGCAUGCGUCCUAUUAGCUAGAUGGUAAGGUAACGGCUUACCAUGGCUACGAUAGGUAGGGGUCCUGAGAGGGAGAUCCCCCACACUGGUACUGAGACACGGACCAGACUCCUACGGGAGGCAGCAGUGAGGAAUAUUGGACAAUGGGCGCAAGCCUGAUCCAGCCAUGCCGCGUGCAGGAAGAAGCAUCUAUGGUGUGUAAACUGCUUUUGUACGGGAAGAAACACUCCUACGUGUAGGAGCUUGACGGUACCGUAAGAAUAAGGAUCGGCUAACUCCGUGCCAGCAGCCGCGGUAAUACGGAGGAUCCAAGCGUUAUCCGGAAUCAUUGGGUUUAAAGGGUCCGUAGGCGGUUUAUUAAGUCAGUGGUGAAAUCCCGCAGCUCAACUGUGGAAUGGCCAUUGAUACUGAUAGACUUGAAUUAUU
rnacentral:rRNA from 1 species